CUGAUCCAGCCAUGCCGCGUGUGUGAAGAAGGCCUUCGGGUUGUAAAGCACUUUCAGCGAGGAAGAACGCCUUGGGAUUAAUACUCCCGAGGAAAGACAUCACUCGCAGAAGAAGCACCGGCUAACUCCGUGCCAGCAGCCGCGGUAAUACGGAGGGUGCAAGCGUUAAUCGGAAUUACUGGGCGUAAAGCGCGCGUAGGUGGCUAAGUCAGCCAGGUGUGAAAGCCCCGGGCUCAACCUGGGAACGGCAUCUGGAACUGCUUGGCUAGAGUGCAGGAGAGGAAGGUAGAAUUCCCGGUGUAGCGGUGAAAUGCGUAGAGAUCGGGAGGAAUACCAGUGGCGAAGGCGGCCUUCUGGACUGACACUGACACUGAGGUGCGAAAGCGUGGGUAGCAAACAGGAUUAGAUACCCUGGUAGUCCACGCCGUAAACGAUGUCAACUAGCCGUUGGGUCCCUUGAGGACUUAGUGGCGCAGCUAACGCAAUAAGUUGACCGCCUGGGGAGUACGGCCGCAAGGUUAAAACUCAAAUGA
rnacentral:rRNA from 1 species